UGGGAGGGCAGCCUUCCCUUGGUGUUU
rnacentral:piRNA from 1 species